CUGCAUGGCUGUCGUCAGCUCGUGCUGUGAAGUGUUGGGUUAAGUCCCGCAACGAGCGCAACCCUGCUAUCUGUUGCCAGCAAGUAAUGUUGGGGACUCAGAUGGAACUGCCGGUGACAAACCGGAGGAAGGUGGGGACGACGUCAAGUCAUCAUGGCCCUUAUGUCCUGGGCUACACACGUGCUACAAUGGCCGGUACAGAGCGCAGCGAAGCCGCGAGGCAAAGCGAAUCGCAAAAAGCCGGUCUCAGUACGGAUUGGAGUCUGAAACCCGACUCCAUGAAGUUGGAAUCGCUAGUAAUCGCGCAUCAGCAUGGCGCGGUGAAUACGUUCCCGGGCCUU
rnacentral:rRNA from 1 species